CUGCCAAGCUAACCUUAAGCUAAAAGAAGGCUAACCUUUAGCGUUGGGAAGUAGCCAUUAAAGUUUACUCAGUUGCAUACUCUUGAAUGAGAGUGUUAUUAUACCGUACUUUUAACUUUUACUUGAAUAAUGUUUUUGUGAAGUAUACAUGAAUGACAGAGACAGAGGCAGAGAUUAUCCUUCUUGUUUCUACAGUGUUUUUUAUAACUCUUUUUCACUAUUACUAGUCCAUGUGUUGUAUAUUUUAAUCCUGAUAUUUUUACACAAGAAAUGAUGGCAUAUUUAGGUUGUAUUCACACCAGUAAGGUUCGUUGCUUCACUUUACCUGGUCUGGACUAAAUACUGUUUUUAUUUUAAUAUUUUAAAUUUGGUCAUGGUUCCUAUGCAAGCUGCAAAUAAAUGCAGCAGGACCUGAGUUUCUCAACAAAAAUACACUGUUGAGCUCUGUAGUGAAAAGAAAAGAAAGAAAACUAUCUUUUAUAUAGCACCCGUCAAUAUAAAAAUCACAAAGCGCUUCACAAAGACAAAAAUUAAAAAUAUAAAAAACAUUUUGAAAAAGGAUUUUCAAAUAUGUUUAAAAUGAGAACAAAUAGAAAAUUGGGAUUUAUACAUGUGAAAAAAGAGAGAGAAAAUGCAUUUUUUGUGAUGUCUACAGAGAAUAUAAUUUUCAUUAACAUGUUUCAAUUUAAGUGUUCCUUUGUUUAAUACAUUUUAAAGCUCAGUGGUGCAGUCAUCCGUCUUAAAAAGGAUAUUUAACUUUUUUUUUUUUUGUCAUUGCAGUCAUAACACCAGAGGAAGCCAUCAACAAGUACAAGAAGGUGCUUAUGGCGACACAGGAUGGGAGUCUCCCAAUGGUUGCAGCCUUUAGGAUAAUUGGCGUAGACCGGAAAACUAUUGCAGACACAGCUGCGAUAGCUGAACUUGCAGCAGUAAGUCCGGAGAGGUACGAAGAACUCAGGAACACCUACAGCCCAAAGGAAAGUUUAGCUUCCUUUGCUAAAAGAUGCAAGGCGACAAUUCAGUCUGCCAGUCUUGAGAAGGAUGUCAUUAAAAUGAAGGAUGCUGGAGUACUUCUUAAAAUGUUCCCAACGUUUUUGUAACCAAAAAAAAUGUUUUUUGUUCAUCUCUAAUGUGGAUUACCUUGGACCUGUUCUGCUUAAUUUUUUAUAUUGUUUUAGUGUUUUUACAUGUUGAUUUCAUAAAUUAUAAAGGUGAAAGUAAAUCUUUGAAAAGUUUGUUGUGUACCGUUCUCAUUAUUUUAAAAAAAGUACCCUAAACAUUGAACAUUUUGUUAGUGAUUGAUUUGAGCCAGGUAACUUUGUAACCUGCAGGAUUUUGGUCAUCCAUCUCUGGAAUAUUACCACACACAAGAUGAAAGAAAAAGCUGUGUGAAUAAGCUCAAUCUACUCAUGGCAAAUGUUCAUAUAACAACAUAGUAAGUAAUGGUUAAGUAACUAGUAGGUACAGAUUCAUUGCUCAGUAGGUACUUAGGAUGAGGCUUCACUUUACUUUAGGGUACACAAAAGCAGUAGGUAAUGCUUAAGUACCUAGUAAGUACUGAUUCGUUCCUCAGUAGGUACUUGGGAGGAGGCUUCUAUUUACUUUAGGGUACACAAAAGCAGUUGGUAAUGCUUAAGUACCUAGUAGGUACGGAUUCGUUCCUCAGUAGGUACUUGGGAGGAGUCUUCACUUUACUUUAGGGUACACAAAAGCAGUAGGUAAUGCUUAAGUACCUACUAGGUACUGAUUAGUUCCUCAGUAGGUACUUGGGAGGAGGCCUCACUUUACUUUAGGGUACACAAAAGCAGUAGGUAAUGCUUAAGUACCUACUAGGUACUGAUUAGUUCCUCAGUAGGUACUUGGGAGGAGGCCUCACUUUACUUUAGGGUACACAAAAGCAGUAGGUAAUGCUUAAGUACCUAGUAGGUACGGAUUCGUUCCUCAGUAGGUACUUGGGAGGAGGCUUCACUUUCCAUUGUCUCGAGAUGGACGGAUGCCGACGAUGGACGACGAAGUGACAGACGAGUGAACUCAAGAUGAAACAGUGAUAUUAAAUCACUGUGACGUUGCAAAUUAUCUGCAUCCUUUAUGAGGUUUACAAAAGAGCGUCUACAUGCACUACGUUAAUCUGGGAUUCAUUUAUUAUUGCUUUCAUAAAUAACUACCUAUUAGUCCCUGAAUAAGACUGCUGGGUGGUUACCAGUAAGUACUGGUUAACUGCCCACUAAUCCCUGAAUGAGACUGAUGAGCAUUUUCACCAGUAACUACUGGUUAAAGAGCAAGUAACGUCUAAAUUAACUUUUUUUUUGCUGAUGAACUGUAUAAAUGAGUGUGUAAUAGUUUUUUAAAUGUGUGUAUUCAUUAUUUUAGCAUUUUGGUGCAUUUUCUUUAAAAAUUAAAAAUUCUGCCUAAAUACCACAGUAUAGUGCCACCUUCAGCUUAAAACAUAGAAUUUGACUCAUUUUGAAUAAAUUUUAGCCAAUGGCUAAAGAGUAAGAUACUACGUAAACUAGUAGAGUACUACGUAGCAGCUCUGUGUCAAAGUUAUAAAAGCAACGAGCGUCUCGGCCACGCCUUGUGGCGAGUUGGGAGUUGGAUUUGCAAGCGAGCGUAGGACAGUUAGUGGUAGUUCAGCAUUAGCAUAUAGCAUUAGCAUAUCCUAGUCUUUAGCGUAGCCUUUAGUAUUAUACAUACUUAUUUAGUGUUAGCUUGGCUGUUGGAUAGUGUAGUUUAGUUAGUGUUUGGCUGUUAGUGUUAUUAGGAAAGUAGUUCGGGUUUAGUGCUCCAUAUCGUGUUAGUAUGCUGUGAGAAGGUGUAGUGUAGUAUGGUUGCGGUGGCUCUGUGGGGUUGUACUCCUUUCUGCUGGACUUAGAAAUUAGGUGCCAGUGGUUGCGUGUCUGGAAAACAUUCAGCUCCCGCCGGGUGCUGUAGUUUGCAACCAGCAAUUUACCUGCGAUUCUGCAAGUCUCCGUUUGAAGAGGCUGUGCCCACCGUGGCUCUUCCGCGAUUUAGAUGCAGCCCACCGACUCUGCUCCCCCACCACGGCGGGCUCCAGUCUGAGGUGAGUAAGCUAAAUAAAAGUUUUAACAUCUUCUAAAGACAAUUUCCUACCUAAAUGCAAAGUUUGCGAAACGUGGUUCACUCCAUUUAGCUAAUAUCAGCCUGCACUGCCUUCGGGCAGAUUUGUCAAGUUCACAAAAUGUGGAACGGGAUGUAAGGUUAGAAUCAGCGGCGAAUCGGAACAUAUCUCGAAGCCCUGGCUGACAAAACGGUCCACAUGACUGUCAGGCUCAGAGAAAAUUCGGGUUGCUUUUGUGUCAGUCGGCAAUUCUGCAACAGUGGCUCUAACUAACGCAGCACUAGUUGACAGUCAUCAUUACAGCGUGAAAUCCAGCACAGCGUUACCCGGUUCCGUGAGGAAUUCUGUUCAGGAGGUCGCAUUUCAGGCUCUCCACAUCAUAUGUGACUGACUUUUAUGUUAUAAUAACGAUCACACACUAGGAAUGUUAUAAAGCGCCUAUAUAGGACAGUUUCUUUUGUAUAUUAUCUGACUAUAAACAACAAUGUGCUUUUUUUUUUCAGGCUAAAUCUACCCAAGACAUUGGCUGUCAGACUGAUUUAGUAGUCUGCAAGAAUGCACUUGUCCAGGCUGACGUGAAGCCUUACCGGCGUAGCAAAGAGCUCACAGCCGCAGUGUGUCUUGUGACACAGGGACCAUGACAGAAAUUCAUCUUCCAGAAAGUCCCAGAGCAGCGUCCACACCCCUGAAAAGACCAAGAUGUGAGGUGUCUGCUGUUGAUUCCAGCUUCCACCUCAGUGACAGUGCAAGCUCAGUGAACUGUUCAAGGAGGCUACUGAUUCUGGCCCUGUGACACUUGGUGGUGACGUGUGAGCUGAUUCACCUGGUAAAUAACUUUUACAUUAAAUAUUUUGUUCUUUGCUAUCAAAAGUAAAUUAACUAAUAACCUGCAUUAUUGCAGGACACUCAGCAAAAUAUGGACUCUACACCAUGAGGCAGGCACACGUUAUAAGAGCACAUAAGGUGAGCAACACCACAUAUUAUUGUACACUGUCCUGGAUUUGUUUUCUUUCUGCAUGAUUUGUUUUCUUUCUGCAUCUCAUCAUUAGCCUGGCUGAUCACCUGAUAACUCCUGUCAUCUGGUUAUGACAGCAUGAGGAUGUCCUCACACACCUGUAACCUAUCAGCUCAUCUGGCAGAAUAGAGAGAAGAGACAACACCACAUCUCCUGUUCCUGGAAAGCCUUCAGCCAUCCUUCAAUGACUGAGAACCUCCAUCAGCUCUGUCUCCUGUCUGCCUAUAAUUAUAAUAAAUAUUGUGUUUGACAAGUUUUUUGUGCUGCCAAAUAUCUCAUUUUGAUUCCAGUUUUGAUAUUUUAAUGGAUAUUUAUAAAUUACAUUAAUUGAAUUAUCACAUUGCAUGUUUAACUAGCUCUAUUGUGAUGAAUUAAACUAGCACCUCACUGUUAAAAGCUCAUUUUAAUUUCAAGCAUGUUUAAGUAUUUAUGGACAUGAACAAAAA